UGGGGAAUAUUGCGCAAUGGGCGCAAGCCUGACGGAGCGACGCCGCGUGAAGGAUGAAGGCCCUUACGGGUCGUAAACUUCUGUUCUGAGGGACGAAAUUUUUUGACGGUACCUCAAGAGAAAGUAUCGGCAAACCCUGUGCCAGCAGCCGCGGUAAGGCAGGGGAUACAAGCGUUACUCGGAAUUACUGGGCGUAAAGCGUCUGUAGGUGCUUUGGUAAGUCUGUGGUAAAAGCUCGGGGCUCAACCCCGAGAGCGUCAUGGAAACUACCGAAGUUGAGCAGUAGAGAGGCAUCUGGAAUGCCGCAUGUAGGAGUAAAAUCCGUAGAUAUGCGGUAGAACGCCAAAAGCGUAGGCAGGAUGCUAGCUACUUGCUGACACUGAGAGACGAAAGCGUGGGGAGCGAAGCGGAUUAGAUACCCCCGUAGUCCCUGAGCGGGCUGGCAAGGCGCAU
rnacentral:rRNA from 1 species